rnacentral:piRNA from 1 species
ACAAGGAAUAUAUCCUACUUGGGUUGUCUA